CCUACGGGAGGCAGCAGUGGGGAAUAUUGCACAAUGGGCGCAAGCCUGAUGCAGCAACGCCGCGUGAGGGACGACGGCCUUCGGGUUGUAAACCUCUUUUAGUAGGGAAGAAGCGAAAGUGACGGUACCUGCAGAAAAAGCACCGGCUAACUACGUGCCAGCAGCCGCGGUAAUACGUAGGGUGCAAGCGUUAUCCGGAAUUAUUGGGCGUAAAGAGCUCGUAGGCGGUUUGUCGCGUCUGCUGUGAAAACUGGAGGCUCAACCUCCAGCCUGCAGUGGGUACGGGCAAACUAGAGUGCGGUAGGGGAGAUUGGAAUUCCUGGUGUAGCGGUGGAAUGCGCAGAUAUCAGGAGGAACACCGAUGGCGAAGGCAGAUCUCUGGGCCGUAACUGACGCUGAGGAGCGAAAGCAUGGGGAGCGAACAGGAUUAGAUACCCUGGUAGUCCAUGCCGUAAACGUUGGGCGCUAGAUGUGGGGACCAUUCCACGGUUUCCGUGUCGCAGCUAACGCAUUAAGCGCCCCGCCUGGGGAGUACGGCCGCAAGGCUAAAACUCAAAGAUAGUGCGNGNGAGACGCGACGACGACGACGACGGAGGAGGAG
rnacentral:rRNA from 1 species